GGGGAAUGAGUGGCCGAAAGUAGUGCAUUUUUUCCAGGAGUACAUAUCUGGGAACCCUAUGCAGAUGCGGAUUGAUUUUCUCCAUUCGAUUCUGUGUUUACGGGUCACAGUAACCUGAAUGGAAUUACGUCCGGGUACUGUCCCUUGGGCUCCCGAAAAGCCACUGGCCGGCUGGAUCCCGUUUCCCAGUUUGUGGAAUCCCGGGACGCGGCAUGUGGAGCCCCGCCCCCUGGAGCUCGAGGACAGAGCCGCCUCGGCUGGGAAGUCUGGCGGGAAAGGGAAGUCAACCCCUAAGGAGAACAGUCACCACACUCAUGGCAGGGAUUUUGCGCUCAAUAGUUCAGAGGCCCCCAGGCAGACUACAAAUGGUGACAAAAGGUGUGGAGCCCCUUGUUCGUACAGAUUGGAUUCGUCACAAAUUUACGAAGUCAAGAAUUCCAGAUAAAGUUUUUCAACCUUCACCUGAAGAUCAUGAAAAAUAUGGUGGGGAUCCCCAGCAGCCUCAUAAACUGCAUAUUGUUACCAGAAUAAAAAGUACAAAAAGACGUCCAUAUUGGGAGAAAGAUAUAAUAAAGAUGCUUGGGUUACAGAAAGCACAUACUCCUCAAGUUCACAAGAAUAUCCCUUCGGUGAAUGCAAAACUGAAAGUGGUUAAACAUUUGAUAAGAAUCAAGCCCCUGAAGCUGCCGCAGGGUCUCCCAAGAGAGGAGGACAUGUCCAGCACGUGCCUCAAGAGCACUGGAGAGCUGGUGGUGGGGUGGCUUCAGAACCCCACGGACCAGGAAGUGAAUAAGUCCUGAUGGCCUCGCGGCUUCAGAGUAAAAAGUGCAAGUCAUUUCUAUCUCAAGAUGAUCUGUGGACACAAAGCUCAAAGGACACCCGAGCAGGGGACUCUUCUCUUUAGAGAGAACUUCAAACAAUCCUCAAAGAUCCAUGUUUGGUGGAGAAUGGACCUCUUGAAAGACUGUGUGGCAGCAACUACUGAAAAGGGAAGAAAAGAAGCCAGUCCCUGGAUCUUCAGCAAACAAGAGGAAGAAGACACAAGAGCCUUAUGAAUCACAAAAGAUGUGGAAGGGCUACUGAAAGCAGUAGAAAUAGAGAAGAUACAUGAAGAUAUGAAGAAGGUAAAAGAAGGUCCGGAGAGGACAAGUUGAUGAUUUUUAAAAGAGGCAAAAAGCAUACACCUCUAAGAAACCCCCUUGGAGGCUUUGACUCAGGCCCUCCCUUCGCUCUUGUCUUCGGCCUCCCGACCAAAACCUGGCGUUUCUCCCGUGGCCCUGAGUUGCGGGGCCUGCCUCUUGUUUCUAGGGGAACGGUAAGUACCAUUCAAUUUUUCUUACGAUGGCACUGACCUCUCUCUGUCAUCACUCAGUCACCUUUAGAAAUUAAGACCCGGGGCUUCCCUGGCGGCGCAGUGGUUGAGGGUCCGCCUGCCGAUGCGGGGGACACGGGUUCGUGCCCCGGUCCGGGAGGAUCCUGCAUGCCGUGGAGCAGCUGGGCCCGUGAGCCGUGGCCGCUGGGCCUGUGCGUCCGGAGCCUGUGUUCCGCAACGGGAGAGGCCACAGCAGUGAGAGGCCCACGUACUGCAAAAAAAUAAAUAAAAAAAAAUAAAAUAAAAUAAAAAAAGAAAUUAAGACCUGGACACAGAAUAAAUAACAGGUCUGACAUUGUUCUUGCUUUGUAAGAUAUCCCCCUUUUAAACGUCUGUCUCAUUCUACCUCUGUUUACAUGUUAACGAAAAUUUACAUUGAGAUCCCUGUCAAAUAAAAAGCACCUGGUCACCGCCAGUGAGGCUAUACAUAGAGAUGCUGAGAAAGCACCGUUCACAGCGUGGGCAGCGCAAGCCGGAAGGAGGAUGCAGUGUCGGGGACACGCGUGCACUGGGUGGGGAGCAGGGACAUGGGAGGAUCCCAGUCCUCUUGGCAGCUCCCCAGCGUGUCCGGCCUGAUCUGUGCCUCAGCAGCCGGCCAGCUGUGACCAGUGACUCUGCUCCGGUGAACUGGUUCUUGGCUCCCCUGGGACCACGAGGAGCGAAUAAAACGCUACCUGCUUUCAAGAUCGCAGAAAGUCACAACCCAGUCCCACCUAGAUUUUGUUUGUUGGGCCGCGCUGCACGGCUCGCUGGAUCUCAGUUUCCCGACCAGGAAUUGAACCCAGGCCGUGGCCGUGAAAGCGCAGAAUCCUAACCACUGGACCACCAGGGAAGUCCCCCAUCUAGCUUUAUUCUCUAAAGUUUCAUUUGUGUUUCCAACAUAAAGUAAUUCCUUUAUGUGCCUGUACAUAUGUCCUGGUUUUUUUCUUUUUUCCCCAGAAAUAAGAACAAAUCCUUCUUUUGAGUUAUUCAGAGCUUCUAGGCUGUAGGGAGAAACAACACAAAAGAGUGCAUGAUUAUGCUGUCAGAUGCCUGAGGUGAAGCCAUUAACCAAGUUCCUUUUAUCGAUUCCAGCAGCCUCCACUGUUUUCUGGGAGGGUGGGAACUCAUGGAGGAACAGCCUGGCUCUUUGCAGCACCCACGUGAUGAGAUGUUUUGUUAGUGCCCCGUGUGUUCAGGCCGGGUUCAUUCUACUCCACGUGACCUGAUAACAUGGGGAUACUGGGAGUUUUGCUCGUUUACUAUCUCACACUCUGGAGCAAAAAAUUUGAGGGCUCUGGUUCAUAUUGUCUUCUCAAAGAGCUUUUACUCAGGGUCUUAAGUAUUCCCCUUUUUAAUUUCCCCAUCACAAGAAAUAUAAAUAAGUUAUUGGACGUAUAAAAUGUCUAUUUGGUCUGUGCUAGAAAAACAGAUUCAGGUCACAUAGGGAAGUCAAACAUAAGAGAAGUGGAGUUGCUUUGAUUGGGCACUGCUUCAAUAUCUGAAAAAGAAAAAAGUCCCCAUGAGGUUGCUCUAAGGCAGCAUGGGAAAGCGGGUAGAGAAGGCUGCAGGGGAGGCUGACAGAGGGGGAAGCGGGAUAGAUUCACCCUGGCUGGAUAGGCCCACUCAGCAAGUCAAAGGGGACUCAGCUCCAUCUGCCCAGCUAAGCCAGAAGUGGUGCACACCUCAAUGAGGAAUCUGGGUUUUGUUUUUUUUUGUUUUUGUUUUGACUGCACCAUGCGCGGCCUGCGGGAUGGAACCUGUGCCGCUUGCAUUGGGAGCACAGGGUCUUAACCCCUGGACCACCAGGGAAGUCCCAGGAAUCUGGGUUUUAAAUAGCCCUGAAAAGCGAGGAGACUUUAAGAGUCUUCAGAUGGCUACACAAAACCACCUAUCAGCAUCCUAUUUCGUUCAGGUAAUUCUGGAGAAUCUGUGAGGCAAUAAUUCUCAGCCUUGGCUACACAUUAGAAUCACCUGGGAAUGGGACUGAGUUCUUGUUGUUGUUGUUCGUUUGUUUGUUUUUUCUUCCAGUUUUAUUGAGAUCUAGUGGACAUACAGCACUGUAUAAGUUUAAGGUGUACAGAAUAAUGAUUUGUUUACAUACGUCAUGAAGUGAUUCUCACGGAAGCUGCUGGAGGAUGUGCUCCAUAUAAACAAAGGAGUAAGCUAAAAAUGUGAAAAAUGGGGAGAUGCAACAUGGGAGAGCUGCAAAGGACUGAUGGUGAAGCUGAAACUGCACAACUCAGAUGGGACUCAAACCCACCAAAACUCAGAUUGGGACUUGAACCCACAGGCUGGGACUCGAAUCCAGAAUCCACUGUCGUUUAAUUGAGACCACACACCUGGUCUCAGGAUUUAGUGAAGCUCAGGUUCUUUAUGUCUCAUCCCAGAAGGAAUUCAGCAAGAGGCAAAGUGAUAGGGACCCCCUACCCUAUCCGAAUACAGAAGCUGCGUGAGGCUGCCCUGGUGAUUGCAGGACUUUACCCAACUGGUUCACACGUGGACUCGUAACCAGUGCCUCCCAGUCCAUUGCCAUUGUGCCAGGGAAAUGGAAAUCUCCAAAGGUGUAUUCCUGAGGUCUUCUCAGUCAUAUUGUCCUUAGUGAGGAUCCCUUCACUGGAUUCAGCCUUGAAAGUGGGUCUUGGAAGACAGACGGUGGGGAGACAAGAAGGAAGCAGCCCAGGAGUUCAAGGUCAUGAUGGUCAUGAGCAGGUUCCACAAGCCCCUAGCACAGAAGCCCACAGGGACUCAACAUACUGUCGAGUUACCAAAUACAGGUUCUUUCAAGAAACCAAGAUACUUUGAUUCUCAACACUGAGAAAUACGGUGAUCUGACUGCAGAUCUUGAAAAGCCAGUUUCUGAUGCAUGUGCCUCAUCCCAAUAGCCUCUUCAUUAUCAAAAGGUAAUACCAAAAGGAGAAUUUCUCAUCAGUGCUUCUCUUACUUUGGGUUCUUUUUCCUUGAGUUAAGAGGAAAGGUUACGCUUUCCUUGGUGCCUUGCCAUCUUUGCUUUGGUUAGAAGAAGCAGCUGGAAGACAUUCCCCACUGCUCUAAGCCCCCAGCCUGGGAAUCAGACCCCUUUGGUCACCUUGAGCCAUGUUUCCCAUUCUCCCUCUAUAGGACUCCUAGGCAGGAACAAACCUGGGCCAGAGCCUGGGGAGACCAAUAAACAGGCUAUUUCCACCAGCAAAGUCAAAUCCUCACGAAGUCAGGUCAUGAUAGGGGUCCAGGAUUGAACUCAUAAGGGGGUCAGCAGACAAGAGAUCGGACAACUGGUCACCAUCAAGCACUUGCUCUCAAAUACUUUCUCAUCCCAGCUAUUCCUCUAAUCACCUUCCUCGUGUACAAAGAGCCCUGGUUCCCCCACUAGCUACCAAAUGAAUAUACAAAUGCCACCCAGAAUAGCUUGCCGCUGACCCCAGGGGAUGCCUGAGGAGCCAGCCACCUGCCCCCAAAGCCUCCACCUUCCACGAGCCCCUUCUACUGCUGGCUGCUCCCAUCAUCUCCCUUGGUCAGCGGAGCUUAGCUACGAUCCUUUUGAGUUACUACUAUCAUUACAAGUGGGGUGUGUGUAUAAAUAUGUACUCGGCACUUUCAUGAUGCUUUUCUCAUCUCUUUUGUUUGAAGGUUAGUAUUGUGGGUGGUUCCUUCCAAACACCCAGGAAGAGAAUAUGUCAAGAUGAAGAAGAGGUAUUAAGGAAGUCAUUUGAAUUAACAAAAAGCCGUGCUUUUUGUUUUUCUUCCCUACAACAUUGAGAUAGUCUAUCUGAUUUCCCUUAGUUGAGUAGAAAAUGCCGUGCCCAGUCCAGAACACCAGAAAGAUACAGGAACUUUGCAUUUUAGCUGUGUUUACAGGAACUCUCAGAUUCAAUCACCUAACAGGAAUCACCCACUGAGCCCCCAGCACCGAAUGAGAGAGGACACUCCGUCCCAGGAAAAAGAGCAGAGAAAGAGCCAUGUAGGUACAGGAAAAGCUCAUAGUUUCGUGAAAGUGUUUAUUUACAGAGGCUUCUCACUGGCUUUAUGGAAAGGACCCAUCGGAAAAAAGGACUGCUUGCAACCAGAUGCAAAGCCCAGAGCAUUUUACUCUUUGUACUGCUUUUCCAGGGGAAAAAAAUUCUUCUUGGAAACACAAGUGGAAAAACUUAGCUUUUAUUGCAACAUGAAAGCUCGUUUCAUUUUCCAAGCAUGGAGCUAAAUGUCUGUGUUGCGUAAGCACUUGAAUGAAAAGAGUCUGUGUAAAUACAUGUGCCAAUGACUUAGGAACACAGAGUUACUUUGUUUGUUUUUUUUCAAUUACAUCAGGAAAGAGCAAGAAGGGACAAUAAGACAUCAACAUAGCAUAUCGAAGGAACCCAAACUCUGUGACGCAACUUUCCAGGUGCCAAAAAGGAGUCUAUGUUCAGAAGGGAGUGUUGAGGCGUCACUGGAGUGUGUGUGGGGAGAGUCCAUCGGUCACCCAGGACCAAUCCGGUCAAACCCCUGUGGCUCCAGACACUUGGAACCAUUAUCAAAACGUCAGCCCCUGCCUUCUCCCGGGUCCCCUGCCCUGCCACACCUGGAAUGUGUGAGAGCAGUGAACUUGGCGGCUUCAUUCAUGACUGAGUCCUCAGAGACCAGAUCAGAGCCUAGCACGUUGUGUGUGUUCGGUAUAUAUUUGUUGAAUCCGUCAAUGCAUGAAGAAUCUUCAAUCUCACCCAGCAAGGUUCAGAUCGGUCCUCCAACCCCGCGUCCCAGUCUAUGAUGCCAUCCUCAGAAACAGAAGUCUACAUGUAGUCAAGCAUUCUCAUUGCAAAAGACCGUAUCUUCUAGUUUUCAUUAAGGUCAGUGUGACAGUGGAAAGAUACGAUUGAAUUUUCAGCAUGGCAAAAGUUUGACUACCUAAAACUAUCAGAUGGAAAAAGGUGCCAUGUCUAAAUAUACUGCUGGUUGCUGAAAGGAAAGCUCAAAGCCUUGCUGCUUUUCUUGUCAGUGAUUGCCAGAAGAAGAGGAGUAUUUUGAUCAAUCUUGCUCACAAGACGCCUCCUGCCAGCUCUGGGGUUCAGAAAGAAUUGACUUAUUCUUAAUAGUCAAACCCCAGUUCAUUGAGAGGUUCUACCAUGUUUGCUUUUUUUUGGGGGGGGGGAAAUCUUCUAUUUUGCAUUCCUCCUUUUUAAUCUUUGGCUUGGCACAUCCCUAAGUUGUGAAAUCUCCUUGUGUGUUAAGAGCAGUGUUUUAAUACCAAUUUAUAAACAUGCGAGUACUUAUAUAAAUUUAGACAUGUAAAUGCAUGUCUCUUAUUGGUUUUCCUCUUACACC